GUAGAUAUAGUUUAAGUAAAACACUAGAUUGUGAAUCUAGCGAUAGAGACCAAAAAACUCUUAUCCACC
rnacentral:tRNA from 1 species